rnacentral:lncRNA from 12 species
GGGGGGGGGGGGGGGGGGGGGGGGGGGGGGGGGGGGGGGGGGGGGGGGGGGGGGGGGGGGGGGGGGGGGGGGGGGGGGGGGGGGGGGGGGGGGGGGUGGCGGAACCCGCAGCAUCCCUCGCCCGCCCCCACCGCCCUCGCUCUCUUCCACCUCUGUUUUCCUAGUCCUUGAGGGGAUUAAAAAAAAAAAAACCAAAACAAAUAAAAAACCUAAAACAACAACAACAACAAAAAAGAAAACAAACAAAAAAAAAAAAAGACGGGGAAGGCAUAAAUUUGAAGUCAGAAGGAAAAAGGAAAGCAGCAAGUUCGCUUGCGCGGGGAUGCAGCGCCUGGCCGGGCCGGGAGAGGCUGUUCCAGGGCUGCCCUCGGGCCGGGAGAGGCUGUUCCAGGGCUGCCCUCGGGCCGGGCGAGGCCCGAGACGUUUCCCCGCAGCUCCUGCGGGCGCUGCACAGCCCCGCGCUCUCUCCUCUCCUCUCCUCUCCUCUCCCCGUCGGGGCGCGCACCGGGCGCUCCCCCCGCGCAGCUGUCGGUUCGCUCGGGGCCGCUGCCGGGAUCAAUGGGGCCGGGAUCAAUGGGGCCGGGAUCAAUGGGGCCGGGCUCGCCCCGCCCGGUCCCGCACAUGGGCGCUUCUCAUGCGGGACGGGCGGCCCGGGAAGGCGACAGCUGCCGCUGCCGUCGGGGGGGGGGGGGGGGGGGGGGGGGGGGGGGGGGCUGCCGCUGCCGUCAGGGGAGCGCGGCGCCGGUGCCAUGUGUCGGCGGGGAUGAAUGAGGGGAAGGAGAUGAGCAUCUCGUGUCCAUCAAGCACCAGUUUUUCACAGCGAAUUUUUUUUUUUCUCCUUUCCCAGGCGUUAGCGAAAGCAUCUGGUUGUCCCUCCUUCCCCGGGGGGGGGGGGGGGGGGGGGGGGGGGGGGGGGGGGGGGGGGGGGGGGGGGGGGGGCCGUGCCCAGCCCCUCCCCUGGGGCUGCGGGGUCCCGAUGCGAACCCCCCAAAACCCCGCUCGGGGCAGGAGGCAGCACAGACCGAGGGGACACUGGGGGCAGUGGGGACAGCGGGGUGCCCCCUCUGCCUCAUCCCCCCCAGCGGGGAUCCCGACCCAGAGCAGGCGUUUGAGAGGCCAAAAUGCCCGCGCCCGUCUCCAGCAGGAUCCGAAAAUCAAACCCCAGCGCGGCCCGGCUGCCCCUCCCGACCCAGAGCAGGCGUUUGAGAGGCCAAAAUGCCCGCGCCCGUCUCCAGCAGGAUCCGAAAAUCAAACCCCAGCGGGGCCCGGCUGCCCCGGCCUCCUGCACCCCCGGGAGCCCGAGGGGAGGGGGAAAAGCCCCGAGGAAGCAGCAGCGUGUGCCGCCCCCUCGCAGGGCCGGGUGAUGGAAACGGGGGGGAUUUUUUUGGUUUUUUGUAUUUCGCAAUUCGCCUGGGUAGAGGCCCCGAACCCCACUGGGAUCCGGCCGGGAUGCUCCAGAGCAACCCCGGGCGGCCUCAGUGCUGGAAAGGAGAGACAUUAAGAGAGUAAAAAAGGAGGAAAAAAAAAAAAAAAAAAAAAAAAAGACAGCUAGGCCAGAAAUGAAAGACAUAUAAAAUAUAAGGGUAGGAGAAUUUUUUUCCUCCAUUCAGCAUACCCUGAGAACCUGAUUGUCAUCCAAUUAGAGGCUGAGUUAAGGUCUGAUUAAUCUAUCACAAGCAAAAGGGUUUUAAAAAGGGAAAUUAAAAAACUAAAAAAAAAAAGGAAAAAAAUGAAAUUAAAAGAGGAAAACCAAAAUUUUAAAAAAUAGAGAGUGUGAGUAGAAUAGUGAAAGAGACCCAAAUAAAGAGAGAGAAAAUAAAAUAGUUUGAAAAAUGAAAAACGCCAAACAAACUCAAAAUCAUUCUAAACCUAAUACCGAAGAAAUAAACCAAGACCCUUUCUGGCGAGUUUAAAUUUGCAUUUUAUGGGUAUCGUUCCCGUCUUUUAGUUAAACAUCGCCCUGUUUCGCCACCGCUGCGCUCAGUACUGGGAUUUCUCUCUCUUUUACGGGGUCCCCGUGAUCCCGGGGACCACCGCGGCUCGUGGAGCAUCCCCGCAUCCCCACCGAGCCAAAACUUCCCUCCCACGCACGGGCAGAAGCUUUCCACCACAUCCAUCCCCCGACAGCACAAAGUUUUUCCUCUUUCUCCAUUUAUUUUUAAUUUUAUUUUCUUUUUCCUCUCCUUUUUCACCUCUCUCCGCGGCCGCGCGGGCUCGGGGAGGAUGCCGGGCUCGGAGCCGGUGACGGGGCGGGGGGAGCCCUGAGCUCCCCGGGGGGCUCUCCCGGCGGUGUCUUGGGGGUACAGCCCGCACAGGAGGUGGGGGUCCCACCUCUCCCCCCGUCCCCAGCACCUUCCCCCGCAGAAAGAGCGCCUCCGCCUGAUUAAAUACAUACGCGGUUAACGCGCUAUCCAAAUAUUGAAGUUAAGGUGUAAUUAAGCCUGCAGAACAUCCCCGCGCAAUAAACCCCACGGCUGGACAGGAUCCAUCCCCAGGUUUGUUUUAAAAGAGCUUGGGAAAGGAAAAAAAAAAAAGAAAAAAAAGAAGAUAAGAAGGAGAAGAAGAAGAUCUUUAAAUUAUGUAUUAGAAAGUCCCAGUUUAUCCUGCCACACUCGGGUCGAUGCUGAGGGUAAACACAACACUGUCGCCCCCCGGCUCCGCUCGCCUUUCCCUUUUCUUUUAUUUCUUUUCUAUUUAUUUUCCUUUUUCCUUAUUUAUAGGGUAAACACAACACUGUCGCCCCCCGGCUCCGCUCGCCUUUCCCUUUUCUUUUAUUUCUUUUCUAUUUAUUUUCCUUUUUCCCUAUUUAUUUUCCUGCCCCCCUCCCCCGUGAUUAGCCCUCCCGGGUUUCUUCCCACGUCGCUAAAUGUUGUCGCUUACACUCCGAGCUCAUGCAUUGUUUAUGGGAAAUACGGUUAAUAAAUAAUUACAAAUCCGAGGUGCGCGGCUCUGCCUCUGAGUGACGGGAAAGUGUCCGGGAAGGGGCCGGGGGUGGGACAGCUGAGCGGGAUCCUUCCCCGCUAAAGGGCACAUAAAAGGCGAAUAAAAGAGAAAAGAAAGAAAAGUGGAGAGGUAGAGGGGGCGAGGGGGGGGCUAUAAAAAAGAGGGUGAAGCGAACCCCCGGAGGAUGCACCGCUCCCGGCUCAUCCAUCUUCAUUGUCUCCGUGUGUGCAAAAGCAACUCCGGUCUAAGGAAAAGCCACUAUCAAAGCCAUGGCUUUAUUUUAUAUCCUAUAGAUCAGGAGGGAGGCA